GUCAGCGCGGACUUCCCGAUAUAAAAUCACUGGAAUCAAGUGUGGAAUAAGAACCUGAGAUCCAGCUGUAAGGAUGUAUGCGACUGUUACUGUGGGACAAAACUUGAAUCUGCCGGUCGUUGUGUGCCCUUAAGUCCCCAGUGCCUCUUGGAGAAGGAUGACCUCGCUCCGCCGCCCCGUCCGAGUCUGAGCCAGGUCACGCCCUUCAGUGUCGGCCUCAUGCAGGAGGUUCUGCCUCCGUCGGGGAACUUCUUCUUCUCGCCCUUCAGCGUCUGGAGCGCCCUCGUGCUGGCGACACGAUGACCCGGAUGGAGCGGGUCCUUCGGCUCACCACCAAGGAGGAGACGCUCUCUCUCGACCGAGCUCUGGCGCAGAUAUUAGUGCAUUUCCAGGAAUAAUAAGAAGACGCAAAGGUUUGCAUCACUAUUUGACGGGCAUUACUUCAUGUAGUGCUAAUUACCGAUUAUCCAUAUUUUUAGAACAGAUACAGAGUCGAGCAAAGAUUUUUCCGAUGAUUAUACCCCUCAAGUAAUUAUCAUAAUUUAUUAAAUUGAGAAAGAUGAACAUAGAAAGGUUGAUAUAUCAAAUUAUAUAUAUAUAAGCGUCCAUAA
rnacentral:lncRNA from 1 species